AGCAGCAGUGGAAGCGUCAAACAAACAAUCCCCUCGCCUUUUACUAGGGGAUUCCGUGAUGCUUUCACAUCCAAUGCUGCAUAGCACUCUUUGGACAAACACUUCCUUCGGAAGCUU
rfam:Hypholoma sublateritium FD-334 SS-4 unplaced genomic scaffold scaffold_59, whole genome shotgun sequence.